UUUAAGACCCUGCAGCUCCUAAAGACACAGAAACAACCAUUUCAACCUGCGAUUUUCUAAACAAUAAUGAGAUUUCAGGACACAAAAAAAUAUGUAAAAGGCCUGUGCUCUCAAAACACUUCUUUUGGGGCAGUAUAAUUUAUGCUGGCUUUCCCCAUAUUUUCUUGAGGGCUUUGAAGGCAAGCUGAGAGACACUGAUAAUGUAAUAAAAUACCAAUAAUGGAAGCGGAGCUAAUAAUGUAAGAACUUUUGCAUGUGUAAUAGUGUAAUAACUUUAACCAAUAAUGUAAUAUACACUCUCUUUUACCCAUACAAGCGAGACCCUCUCAUCUACUAGUGCGACCAUCACUGGUGCAGUGAGACCCUCUACAACGUCUACAUCAUCCACAAUAUGACCACCACCGGUGCAGCCAUGGAAGAUGAAUUGGAGGAAGCACCGCUGGAUCUCGGACCACCUGAGAUUAUUAUGACCCUCACGGAAGUGACCACUGAGGACCUUGUUGAACAGGAUGUGGCCGUGGAGACAAAACGAGGAAAGACACGAAGAGGAACAAAGUCACACCAGGCGCUACCAGCCCCCAGAUCCACUCAUUUCAGCAGAGGCACCUCCAUGCUGUCAAGAGGGAUACAGCCCAACCUGAUGCACACAGGAAGGAGGAGGAAGAGACCCUCUUUGCCAUCAGCCUGGUGGCAACCCUAAAGAGGCCUCCUCAGCAAAGAAGAGCAACAGUCAAGAGAUGGAGUCAAUUUAGCCGACCAGCUCACAGGAAGGACAGGAAGAGGUGAGCUGUCUGGUUGUUGUAUUGACCUUCUCCUCCAAUGGGGUUUGAGCAGGAGGUGAGGAGAGGACACGAGGAAUCAAGGAAAUGCAACUGAUAUUUUCCAAGGGUCCUCACUUGAGAUUUUCUAACUUAUUACUAUGUCCUUUCUUAGUAGGCUUUUUAGUAUAAAAUACAUGGAAUUCAUAAAGUAAAUAGUUUCUCAAUACUUACUAUAGGACAGCAUUCAUUAUUAGUUGUACAUAGAUUGCAUGAAAAUGGACUGAAUUGGAAGUGACACACCGGAGAAUUCAGAUGCUCUUGUUGUUCUUUUACAAGACUGAAGGUGAAAUGUGUGUUCACCUGUAUUGUGGCUACACAUUCACAGACAGCCCUGCCCUCUCUCUCUUUAUACCCAUGUCUGAAGUUCCCCUACUAUGUCUAGGCUUUAUGAAUUGUCCCUGUAUCUGUCUGCAGUUGUGCAUGCUCUUGCUGUUCCCUUACAGAUUACAGGCUACACAAACAUUUUUGUAUUUUUAUACGCACAUACAUGGACACACACCUCUUUCAAUAGUUUUUAUUUUAUUUUUGGUAACAUUUUUACAACACACAUACCUGUCAUGUUCUUUCCUGCACUUGAAUACUCAUUAAAGUCUAAUGGGUUCAUA